GCGGCUGUGGCAGUUCUAGGCAUCACGGACACAUUCAAAGGCAAGGGCCUGGACGGGGAACAGCAGAAGCAAGCUCUUCUCUUGCACUUGCCUCUUUUAUCGAAAGCAAAAUCUUUUCCAGAAGCCCCCAGGAGACAUCUGCUUACUUCUCAGUUGCUAGAACAGUCAGAGGCCAAUCCCAGCUAUAGGGCAUCUGGGAAAUGGCAUCGCAAAAAGAGAAAUGGUGCCUGUGAUGCUGUGAUUUAUAAUAAGAAAUAUAUAUUUGGUCUUCAUUCCCAUUUUGGCACAGAACUCCUAAAACCUUUGGAAUUUCCUAAAUGAUGAGAGUGAUAAAGGCGUCUUUUGUUAUGUUAAUGAGUUGCUUAUGCCUCGCUCUUCACUCAGAAUGCCUCUGUCACCGCCUGCUGUGUUGUCCUGGUGCUUGUGUUCUCCUACAAAAGGGAGAUGGAACAAGUCUGGCAUGCCUGGUUCACUGUGAGUGUCCUCCCCCCGUCCUGCGCCAUGAGAGUGAACGUCAAAGUCAAGACCUGAAUGCCCUUCAGUGUACGGUUCAGUGUACAGCAAAACCUGCUCGCCGGUUUUGGAUCUGGCUAAUCUUUCUCCAGUGUUCUCCUCACCCCUAAUUUGUGAAUCAGAGCCUAAAUCCCACAGACAUGAAGACAGUAGAACAGCAGAGUCUGUCUGCAAGGUACAAAUUAGCAUCAGAUCUGAUGCUAAUGGGAUAGGAAGAAGAAAAUGUUUAGAAUCAACAAAUUUGGCUCCAAACCUACAUUGAACCUCUUUCUCUCAAAAGUCUGUGUGUUCAUUUAGAUGCUCCUCAAGCUGUCAGAUAAAUAACCGGAUGUACCACAAUGGGCUGAGAAAGUCUAUUCCUGGGUUCCAAACUCCUUUUACCCUCCUUCUGUAGGUGGCCUGCUCUGCAGCCGUGAUCACCCUGGCGGCCUUGGCAAAUCUGCCCAGCACAGCGCUGACCAUCAUCAUUCAGAGGGACUGGAUUGUGAGCUUCACAGGUGACAACAGAGGCCAGCUGGCUGGUGAGCUGUGCCACCGCAGGGUUCACAGGUCAUCACGGGUUACCUACUCAGCUGAGAAGUAGGCCUGGCUUAGUGAACAGAGUUGAUGAGCCAAUCAGGGCUCCAAGCGAAGCAGCCAAGUAACCUUUAGGAGAAAGGUAUUUGGAGUCAAACAGACCUGGAUUUGAAUCCAGCUAAAACUAGCUAAUGCUCUUGCCAGCUGCAAGUUACUUAAUAUCUCAAGACUUUACUUUCCUCAUCUGUAGAUUGGGAGAAAUAACGACCACCCUCCCUCUCCCUGCCACCAGCUCAUUUUUGCAAAGGAUUCUGAGAUAUGAGAAUUGUAAAGCACUUGGCUGGUGCUACGUCUGCUCAUAGGAAGCACAUAAGAAAUGGAUGAUAUUGUUAUUAUCAAAAGGAUAUAUAGACUGUACUUUAGGGAAAGAAGCUACUCAGAAUACAUUAUAGAAGUUCCUUGGUAAUUUUAGACCUGGAAAAUAAGUGAAUCAAAAGAUUUCUUAGGGGCCGGCCCCAUGGCAUAGUGGUUAAGUUCGGCACGCUCCGUUUUGGUGGCCCAGGUUCCUGAGUUCGGAUCCCGGUGUGGACCUACACUGCUCGUCAGCCAUGUUGAGGUGGCAACCCACAUACAAAAUAGAGGAAGACUGGUACAGAUGUUUGCUCAGGGCUAAUCUUCCUCACACACACACAAAAAGAUUUCUUAAUUCUGGCCAGGGAUAAGCUUCUACUUUCCUCCAAAUAUUCAUCCCCAAAUGUGACUGUUGAUUAUUACUUAUCACUGAUAGUGGGAGGUAGAUUUUUUUUCAAUAAUGGAGCUAAAUGGAAGAAUCUGGCAUCUUCUUUGUUUUUUUCUUCCGUUUAUAAAACUUGGACCAUUCACACUGUGAGAUAUUCAAAUUGCCAACUUAAAGCUGGAGAUCUUGUCCUACCCUGUAUUUGUGCAAUUGGUACUCUCUGCUAGAAAAUGUUCGUGAGUUUUGAUAGCCAAGAUAAAGGAAGCUAUUACAGAGGAGUCUAUUAAAAUAUACUCCUUACAAAGAGUAGAAGCCCCUUAUAAUCAUGUUUUCUUUCAAACUACACUUAUUUGCAUGUACUGUGGCUUAAAUAACUACCCAAAAUAAAACAGCUAUGUGGUAAAAGCUGGAUGACAUGGUGUUGAAAGUGUCCUCUGUCUCUGGGUGAAAGAAACUCUUCCUAGUGUCUGUUAGUUAAUUUUAAAGAAAUCUAAAAUAAAAUACAGAUUCUGGUUUGGGGUUCAUUGUAAUUUUUAAAAUGAUCUUGUAAAUAUAUUCUUCAAUGAUGGUGGGAUAGUUAAGAGAAUAAGCUUUGUGGUCAGACUGCCUGGGUUUGAAGCUCAGCUCCACCGUUUACCUUCUCUGUGACCUUGAGCCAAUAACCUUACCUCUUUCUGCCUCAGUUUCCUAAUUUGUAAAAGGGAGAUACUAUUGACCUCUUAGAGUUACUGUGAGGAUUAAGUGAGAUGGCUCUAUGUAGAAGGCUUAGAAUCAUGCACCUGGCACAGAGGAAGUAUCCAACUACUUCUGUCCUCUCUGUUUGUUACC